CAAAAAAACCAAGAGAAAACCAAAAAAAAAGAGUGAUGAAACACGAGGACUUUCCUGGAGGUCACCCAUCCUAGUACUACUCUCGCCCAAGCACGCUUAACUGCGAAGUUCUGAUGGGAUCUGGUGCAUUAGUGCUGGUAUGAUCGCAUCAGUUACUACAUGCAAUGCAAUCGUAUAUAUUCUUUUUUGAAGACUUUAUGAUCCAUUUGUCGUAGGUCCCACCAGUUAUGUAGGAAUACCCUAUCUCGUUUAUAAGAGCUUUGAUACAUGCAAAAUAUUCGAAAACAAUGUCCGAACAUAUAAUGUUUGCCCCAAAAUAUAGCAAAGACCACGAAAAUGCCAUAAAAAGUACAUUAAGGUCAAAAUUUGGAGUAGGAAAAAAAUCAAUAGGAGAAUUCCAUUUUCCUUCCUCAUUCAUUGGAGAGCUCUCUUUGGGCAUUCCAAAAAGGUAUCACAUGGCAAGUUUGGCCUCACGGUCUAAAAGUUAUAGAGUAAUACAUUUUUAACAAAAAAAAAAGAGAAAAACCGAAAAAAAGAGGGAUGCAACACGAAGACUUUUCUGGAGGUCACCCAUCCUAGUACUACUCUCCCCCAAGCACGCUUAACUGUGGUGUUCUGAUAGGAUCAAGUGCAUUAGUGCUGGUAUGAUCGCAUCAGUUACUACAUGCAAUGCAAUCAUAUAUAUUCUUUUUUGAAGACGUUAUGAUCCAUUUGCCGUAGGUCCCACCAGCUAUGUAGGAACACCCUAUCUUGUUUAUAAGAGCUUUGAUACAUGCAAAAUAUUCGAAAACAAUGUCCGAACAUAUAAUUUUUGUCCCGUAAUAUAGCAAAGAUCACGAAAAGGCCAGAAAAAAUACAUUUCGGUCAAAAUUUGGAGUAGAAAAAAAACCCUUCCUCAUUCAUUGGACAGCUCUCUUUGGGCUUUCCGAAAAGGUAUCACAUGCCAAGUUUGGCCUCACGGUCUAAAAGUUAUAGAGUCAUACAUUUUUCACAAAAAAAACAAGAGAAAAAC
rnacentral:sRNA from 1 species